rnacentral:rRNA from 1 species
GAUGAACGCUGGCGGCGUGCCUAAUACAUGCAAGUCGAACGAGGUGCUUUUUGUAGCAAUACGAGGAGUAUCCUAGUGGCGAACGGGUGAGUAACGCGUGGGUGACCUACCCCAAAGUGUGGAAUAACAGUCCGAAAGGAUUGCUAAUGCCGCAUGUGGUCUGCGAGUUUAGAAAUCGUUGACUAAAGGAGCAAUUCGCUUUGGGAGGGACCUGCGUCCCAUCAGCUAGUUGGUGAGGUAACGGCUCACCAAGGCUACGACGGGUAGGGGACCUGAGAGGGUGGCCCCCCCACAAUGGAACUGAAACACGGUCCAUACACCUACGGGUGGCAGCAGUAGGGAAUAUUGCUCAAUGGGCGAAAGCCUGAAGCAGCAACGCCGCGUGUGCGAUGAAGGCCUUCGGGUCGUAAAGCGACUUUUCUAAGAGAUGAGAAAGGACAGUAUCUUAGGAAUAAGUCUCGGCUAACUACGUG